CAACACUCGCAGUUUUGGCCAUUUCUAGCAAGUUUUGUGGACACUCACUGUUUUGGGGUCUCGGCGUGAUUUCCACGAUUGACGAACCCCGAGGUGCGGUUAUGUGUCGGUCAUCAACACUCGCAGUUUUGGACGAUUCUGGCCCAUUUCGUGGAAUAUUACUCACCGUUUUGGGGCCCUGAAGCGAUUUGCAUAGUUGUUGAACCCCAAGGUGCGCUUACGUGUCGGUCAUAAACACUCGCAAUUUUGGCCGAUUCUAGCCCGUUUCGUGGACUAUUACUCACUCUUUUUGGGUCUUGGAGUGAUUUCCAUGAUUGACAACCCAGGGUGCGGUUACGUGUUGGUCAUCAACACUCGCAGUUUUGGCCGAUUCGGGACCGUUUCAUGGACUAUUACUCAUCAAGAUCGUGCCAUAGAUGGAACACGAGAGAGAACACGAGAGAGAGAGAGAGAGAGAGAGAGAGAGAGAAAGAGAGAGAGAGAGAUCAAACACAUAGCUACUGGUACAUACCCUCAGCCCCGAGGGUGAACUACUCCCUCCUCGUCAUGGAUAGCGCCGGGAUGACGAAGAUGGCCACCGGUGAUGGGAUCUGGGCGCGCCCCCACCCUCGUGGGCAGCCCGUAUCUCCCUUGAUGUGCACUCCAAGUUCCCUGGGUUGCUUUCCUUCCAAAAAUAACUUCUCCAGUUGAUUUCGUUCCGUUUUGACUCCGUCUGAUAUUCCUUUUCCUUGAAACACUGAAAUAGGCAUAAAACAGCAAAUCUGGGCUGGGCCUCCGAUUAAUAGGUUAGUCCCAAAAAUAAUAUAAAAGUGGAUAAUAAAGCCCAAUAUUGCCUAAAACAGUAGAUAAAGUAGCAUGGAGCAAUCAAAAAUUAUAGAUACAUUGGAGACGUAUCACUGGUGAAGGAUGGGCCGCUGGAGGGCAAGGCGCAUCGUUAUCCCAAGAAGUACUACGAGGGCGUUAUGAAGGGUGCUCGUCUCGUGGCCGAUGAAUGUACCAAGGACAAGAUCCUUGACUAAAUGUACCUCUGCCGCUGUUGUAAUUUAAAGACGAAGUUAAUUGUGCUAUGUAGCACUGUUUGAUUUAAAAUAUUACCUUCUAUGCGGCUGUUUAUAAAAUUCUGAAAGUAGGCAAGUCGUCGGCUUCUGCCCCCACGUAACUAGUACCGCGUUGUUCCUGAAAAAACCCGGAUACUCUUUAUUCAAAUGUUUGGUCCCUUAAGGAGGUAUCCGGCGCAGCGAACAAGGCAAUCGGACUAUGCGGCUUUAUAACUUUCACUUAGCCAUAGAAGUCUAUAAUUUUAAAUUUCGGCAAAGCCCCUAGAAUUCGGAAGGCCAAAUAGGGGCGCUAUAUCGCCUAAACUGGACGAGGCCGAUUCAUCGCCUAAAGCAGAAAGAAUCUUUAAGAAUUUUAAGACCUCUCGAACAGCGACCAGCUCUCGCCGCAUCAUGCAGGUCAGUUUUCGGCUUUCUCUACUGAGGUGCUCGUCCGGAAGAACCGGGACACAAUCACAGUAGUUCUCCCUACGCUACCUUAGCCGGUAUAACGGAACGUAAGGUACCAUAACAAGGGAGCCGGGCUAACCCAACCGUGGACCCAAGACAUGAUUCAGAGCUGAUGCAUAUGAUGCUAUAAGUUCGGGGUGCCGCACUGUUGAAAGUGUUUGGACUUUACUUGCUGUAUUACGGGGCGCCAUGAGAAGCCCCUGGCAAACUGCAAGGUGUACGGAUGCAAUAUCAAAUAAACAUUUGUAAGAAAAAAAUGUUCAAAUAAGAAUAAUAAGCUGACGCUAUUAUAUAUAAUCUCUCAUUGAUGAAUAAUACGUUUAAGCGUAUGUUUACAAUGAGUGCAUUAAGCGGAGAGAAAUAGGACUAUUUAACAUGUCCUAUCCAGGGGCAGGCUGCGUAUGGGUAUGUAAAACAAGUAUAACGAUCGUAAAUAGAUUCCACCUGGGUAUUUCCGUCUGUGCGCAAAGCCUAUUGCCUCCUUGGUUUUCUCCCCUAUAUAAGUUCGACAAUCCGGCUCUUCUGAAGAGGCUGCCCUAACGCAAUGUCCUGAAAAAUAAAAAGGAGAUUUAUGAAGGUGUGUUGCGGUGAUACCGCACUGUUGACUGAGUCAUUGCUGCGCCUCCGCAUGUGCCAAUGGUAUUUUGAGUGCGUAAUUGUGUGCGCGUGGCACGAAUGCUGCUUUGAUGGGGCUUGAGCGGAUGCCGGACUGCUAGUCGCGCUCUUGGUGUGCCUGAUGAUCCUCUUGCGGGGUGCUCCGGACUCGCUUAGCGGUGCCCGAAGAUGUUGUCACCGGAUUGGUUUGUCGGAGGAGGCCGCAUUGUACUUCCGCCGCGAGGGCUGCAGUAUGCUCUUCUGUUCGGAGAGAGCGGUCCAUGUUUCCAUUGACUAUUAUUACCCCGCGCGGUCCUGGCAUCUUGAGCUUGAGGUAUGCGUAAUGUGGUACCGCAUUGAAUCUGGCGAAUGUGGUUCGUCCCAGCAGUGCGUGGUAACCACUGCGGAAAGGGACGAUAUCGAAGAUUAAUUCUUCGCUUCGGAAGUUAUCCGGAGAUCCGAAGACCACUUCCAAUGUUAUAGAGCCCGUACAACGGGCCUCUACUCCAGGAAUUACACAUUUAAAGGUGAUUUUUGUGGGCUUGAUCCUUGAAGGGUCAAUGCCCAUUUUCGCACCGUGUCCUAAUAAAGCAGGUUCAGACUGCUGCCGCCGUCCAUAAGGACUCGCGUGAGGUGGAAUCCGUUGAUGAUUAGAUCUAGGACCAAUGCGGCUGAGCCACCGUGACGGAUGCUAGUAGGGUGAUCCCUACCAUCAAAGGUGAUCGGACAAGCUGACCAUGGGUUGAAUUUGGGGGCGACCGGGUCCAUCGCAUAGACGUCCCGUAGUGCUCACUUCCGUUCCCGCUUGGGGAUGUGAGUGGCGUAGAUCAUGUUGACCAUUUUCACCUCGGGGGAGUUUCUUCUUUCCCCCCAUGUUCGGACGCCGGGGCUCUUCGUCAUCGUCGUUGUGCAGCCCCUUGUCCUUGUUUUCGGUGUUUAUCUUGCCGGCCUGUUUGAACACCCAGCAGUCUCUGUUGGUGUGGUUGGCUGGCUUGUCCGGGGUGCCAUGAGUUUGGCACAAGCGCUCCAGUAUACGGUCUAGACUGGACGGUCCCUGAUUGUUUCGUUUGAACGGCUUCUUCCGCUGACCGGACUUGGAUCCGCUGUAUUCAGCGUUUACUGUCGUGUCUUCAGUGUUGUCGCCAUUGGUCCGUCGCUUGUGUCUGUUGCGCCGUGGCUUGCCGUUAUUGUCACGGAUGUCCGAAGUAGCGAUUUGCAUAGUUGUUGAACCCUAAGUUGCGCUUACGUGUUGUUCAUCAACACUCGCAGUUUUGGCCGAUUCUAUCCCGUUACGUGGACUAUUACUCACUGUUUUGGGGUCUCGGCGUGAUUUCCACGAUUGACGAACCCCGAGGUGCGGUUACGUGUCGGUCAUCAACACUUGCAGUUUUGGCCGAUUCUAGCCCAUUUCGUGGACUAUGACUCACCGUUUUGGGGCCCCAAAGCGAUUUGCAUAGUUGUUGAACUCCAAGGUGCGCUUACGUGUCGGUCAUCAACACUCACAGUUUGGCCGAUUCUAGCCCGUUUCGUGGACUAUUACUCACUGUUUUGGGGUCUCGGAGUGAUUUCCACGAUUGACGAACCCCAGGGUGCGGUUACGUGUUGGUCAUCAACACUCUCAGCUUUGGCCGAUUCUGGACCGUUUCAUUGACUAUUACUCACCAUUUGGGGUCCCGGAA
rnacentral:lncRNA from 1 species